UACGUAGGGUGCAAGCGUUAAUCGGAAUUACUGGGCGUAAAGCGUGCGCAGGCGGUGAUGUAAGACAGGUGUGAAAUCCCAGGGCUUAACCUUGGAACUGCAUUUGUGACUGCAUCGCUGGAGUGCGGCAGAGGGGGAUGGAAUUCCGCGUGUAGCAGUGAAAUGCGUAGAUAUGCGGAGGAACACCGAUGGCGAAGGCAAUCCCCUGGGCCUGCACUGACGCUCAUGCACGAAAGCGUGGGGAGCAAACAGG
rnacentral:rRNA from 1 species